GUGCCUUGAGCAGAGCUGGCUACUGCACCGGACUUUUAAUCCGGAGGAAGUAAUUCCACGCUGGGUUCGAGACCCAGAGGGCACA
rnacentral:tRNA from 1 species